UACGUAGGGGUCUAGCGUUGUCCGGAAUUAUUGGGCGUAAAGAGCUCGUAGGCGGUUCGGCAAGUCGGAUGUGAAAUCUCCACGCUUAACGUGGAGGGGCCAUUUGAAACUGCCGUGACUCGAGUCGGUAGGGGAGUUCGGAAUUCCCGGUGUAGCGGUGAAAUGCGUAGAGAUGUGGAGGAAUACCGAUGGCGAAGGCAGCCCCCUGGGAUAACACUGACGCUCAUGCACGAAAGCGUGGGGAGCAAACAGG
rnacentral:rRNA from 1 species